GGUCUAGGCCAUACCACUCUGGACACGCCCAUCUUAUCUGAUCUUAGAAGCUCAGCAGGGUUCAGUGUAGUUAGCACUUGCAGUGGAGAAUUCACACUAAGAAUA
rnacentral:rRNA from 1 species